rnacentral:rRNA from 1 species
UACAGAGGUCUCAAGCGUUGUUCGGAUUCAUUGGGCGUAAAGGGUGCGUAGGUGGCGCCGUAAGUCAGGUGUGAAAUCUCGGGGCUUAACCCCGAAACUGCACUUGAUACUGCGGUGCUUGAGUACUGGAGAGGAGAUUGGAAUUUACGGUGUAGCAGUGAAAUGCGUAGAUAUCGUAAGGAAGACCAGUGGCGAAGGCGAAUCUCUGGACAGUUACUGACACUGAGGCACGAAGGCCAGGGGAGCAAACGGG